rnacentral:misc_RNA from 1 species
AAUCAAUCAAACUUUAGUUUGGUAUUGGGAGAAGUGGUUAUGCCUCUCUCCUUUAAGCUAUUGGCGACACUAUUUCAGCUUGUAAGACGUAGUAAGCAAUUUCUCGUUAAAGCAGCUGUAUAGGCGUCUGCCAACUGAACGAUUUAUUUUUUAA